rnacentral:rRNA from 1 species
UACGGAGGGUGCAAGCGUUAUCCGGAUUCACUGGGUUUAAAGGGUGCGUAGGCGGGUUGUUAAGUCAGUGGUGAAAGAUUCGAGCUCAACUCGGAAACUGCCAUUGAUACUGAUGAUCUUGAAUACAGUUGAGGUAGGCGGAAUGUGUCAUGUAGCGGUGAAAUGCUUAGAUAUGACACAGAACACCGAUUGCGAAGGCAGCUUGCUAAACUGUGAUUGACGCUGAGGCACGAAAGCGUGGGGAUCAAACAGG